UGCCAGCCGCCGCGGUAAUACGAAGGGACCUAGCGUAGUUCGGAAUUACUGGGCUUAAAGAGUUCGUAGGUGGUUGAAAUAGUUGGUGGUGAAAUCCCAGAGCUUAACUCUGGAACUGCCAUUAAAACUACUAGUCUAGAGUUCGAGAGAGGUGAGUGGAAUUCCGAGUGAAGAGGUGAAAUGCGUAGAUAUUCGGAGGAACACCAAUUGCGAAGGCAGUUCACUGGACCGUGAUCGACGCUGAGGAGCGAAAGCUAGGGGAGCAAACCGGAUUAGAUA
rnacentral:rRNA from 1 species